CUGCACUCCAGCCUGGGCGACAGAGCGAGACUCCGUCUCGAAAAAAAAAACAAAAACAGAUGUCCCCUAACAGACAACACCAAAUAAGAUCCACAUAAGAAAUUAAAUCUUUUUUUUUUUUUUUAGAUGUUUCUCAGUGGUAAAUGUCUUUACCUCUCAGACCAAGUCCACAUACUGUAUUUUGUAUUUGAUUUAUUUUAACAGUUCCAAUUUAUGUGACUAUUGUGUUUUCAGAAGGCAUAUUUAUGAGUUAACCUUCUAGUUAAAUAAUCACAUUAAUUAAAAAUAGUGCUUGAGCUAUUGUAUAUGUUACCUGCUUUUUAAGAUAUGUAGUAUAUAGUAGAAAGCUAUAGCCUUUGUAUCGUGAAUUUGAAUUUAACUCCUGUUGCUGUUAUUUAUGCUUUGACCCUCUACAAUUUUCUUUUUCAUGCCUGUUUCCUCUUUUGUAAAAUUGAGGAGUUCCAUCUGGAAUAUGACAAAUUAGAAGAACGGCCUCACCUGCCAUCCACCUUCAACUACAACCCUGCUCAGCAAGCCUUCUAAAAAAAAAAAAA
rnacentral:sRNA from 1 species